AGAAUCAACGCUGGCGGCGUGCCUAACACAUGCAAGUCGCACGAGAAAGGGGAGCAAUCCCUGAGUACAGUGGCGCACGGGUGAGUAACACGUGAAUUAUCUACCUCCGAGUGGGGAAUAACCAAAGAAAUUUGGCUAAUACCGCAUAACACUUACGAGUCAAAGCAGCAAUGCGCUUGGAGAGGAGUUCGCGGCAGAUUAGCUAGUUGGCGGGGUAAUGGCCCACCAAGGCGAUGAUCUGUA
rnacentral:rRNA from 1 species